rnacentral:rRNA from 1 species
CACCUACGGGGGGCAGCAGUGGGGAAUAUUGGGCAAUGGGCGCAAGCCUGACCCAGCAACGCCGCGUGAAGGAAGAAGGCUUUCGGGUUGUAAAUUUCUUUUCUCAGGGACGAAGCAAGUGACGGUACCUGAGGAAUAAGCCACGGCUAACUACGUGCCAGCAGCCGCGGUAAUACGUAGGUGGCAAGCGUUAUCCGGAUUUACUGGGUGUAAAGGGCGUGUAGGCGGGGUUGCACGUCAGAUGGGAAAACCACGGGCUCAACCUGCGGCCUGCAUGUGCA